AGAGUUUGAUCCUGGCUCAGGAUGAACGCUGGCGGUAUGCCUAACACAUGCAAGUCGUACGAGAGUUUUUAACUCUAGUGGCGGACGGGUGAGUAACACGUGAGAAUUUGCCUUUAGGAGGGGGAUAACAAUUGGAAACGAAUGCUAAUACCCCAUAUGCUUUCGAGUGAAAUGAAUUUUUUAUUUGCCUAAAGAGAAGCUCGCGGCUGAUUAGCUUGUUGGUAAGGUAAGAGCUUACCAAGGCGACGAUCAGUAUCUGGUUUGAGAGGACGAUCAGACACACUGGAACUGAGACACGGUCCAGACUCCUACGGGAGGCAGCAGUGGGGAAUUUUCCACAAUGGGCGAAAGCCUGACGGAGCAAUACCGCGUGAGGGAAGAAUGCCUAUGGGUUGUAAACCUCUUUUUUUCAGGGAGGAAUAAAUGACGUGUACCUGAAGAAUAAGCAUCGGCUAACUCCGUGCCAGCAGCCGCGGUAAGACGGAGGAUGCAAGUGUUAUCCGGAAUCACUGGGCGUAAAGCGUCUGUAGGUGGUUUAAUAAGUCAACUGUUAAAUCUUGAGGCUCAACUUCAAAAUCGCAGCUGAAACUAUUAGACUAGAGUAUAGUAGAGGUAAAGGGAAUUUCCAGUGUAGCGGUGAAAUGCGUAGA
rnacentral:rRNA from 1 species